GACGAACGCUGGCGGCGUGCUUAACACAUGCAAGUCGAACGGAAAGGCCCUGCUUUUGUGGGGUGCUCGAGUGGCGAACGGGUGAGUAACACGUGAGUAACCUGCCCUUGACUUUGGGAUAACUUCAGGAAACUGGGGCUAAUACCGGAUAGGAGCUCCUGCUGCAUGGUGGGGGUUGGAAAGUUUCGGCGGUUGGGGAUGGACUCGCGGCUUAUCAGCUUGUUGGUGGGGUAGUGGCUUACCAAGGCUUUGACGGGUAGCCGGCCUGAGAGGGUGACCGGCCACAUUGCGACUGAGAGACGGACCAGACUCCUACGGGAGGCAGCAGUGGGGAAUAUGGCACAAUGGGCGGAAGCCUGAGGCAGCAACGCCGCGUGCGGGAUGACGGCCUUCGGGUUGUAAACCGCUUUCGCCUGUGACGAAGCGUGAGUGACGGUAAUGGGUAAAGAAGCACCGGCUAACUACGUG
rnacentral:rRNA from 1 species